GACGAACGCUGGCGGCGUGCUUAACACAUGCAAGUCGAACGGAAAGGCCCUGCUUUUGUGGGGUGCUCGAGUGGCGAACGGGUGAGUAACACGUGAGUAACCUGCCCUUGACUUUGGGAUAACUUCAGGAAACUGGGGCUAAUACCGGAUAGGAGCUCCUGCUGCAUGGUGGGGGUUGGAAAGUUUCGGCGGUUGGGGAUGGACUCGCGGCUUAUCAGCUUGUUGGUGGGGUAGUGGCUUACCAAGGCUUUGACGGGUAGCCGGCCUGAGAGGGUGACCGGCAACAUUGGGACUGAGAUACGGCACAGACUCCUACGGGAGGCAGCAGUGGGGAAUAUUGAACAAUGGGCGGAAGCCUGAUGCAGCAAAGCCGCGUGCGGGAUGACGGCCUUCGGGUUGUAAACCGCUUUCGCCUGUGACGAAGCGUGAGUGACGGUAAUGGGUAAAGAAGCACCGGCUAACUACGUG
rnacentral:rRNA from 1 species